UGACAGCCAACAUUUAUUAUAUUUCAGUGUCUCUCCAAAAACAGUUCACCUAACCAAAUUUUCUUGAAAUUUUACUAUAUUUUCCACAGUUUAACUUUUACAACAAAUUUGUAGACGUGUAAAUUUAUUAGGAUGAUAUAUAUGAACAGGCCAUAAGCCGUACAAGCCAAGAUCGUGAAAAGUGUAAGAGGACACAAAACACCGAUAAAGUGUAGCAGGCCGGAUCCGGUUACCAAUGACGGGUAUCUAAACUUUUUGCGUGACUUUUGUAAAACGCACCGUGGGUUAAGGUGCGCAGACUUAAUCAGAAAAGCAGUCCGCACCUGGAAAAGUCUCCCUGACAUAAAGAAGGAUAAGUACAGGCGCAUGGCCUGCACAGUCAGCAAGAAGAAGCCUCCAGUUUGCAAGGACUGUAAAGAGGAUCUACAAUUUGCUUUUGGUUUUAUUACUAAAGCAAAUAGAAUAUUGAAGACAACAGAAAAAUUGAUUUGUGGUCGAUAAUUUGUUUAAAACAGACUAAUUUUGGAAUGUGUCAUUACAAUAAAGAUGUAUGAUCUCA